CUCACCCCGAGGGUGGCGAGAAAACCACCCCAAAUACAGCUGGGGCACACCUGAGGCUGGGGUAUGAGACCAGGAUGAGAUGAUGUGCUUCCUAAGAAAAAGUGACUGGAUUUGUUCUGGGCUUCCUGUGGGAUUCUGGGGGAAAAUGAAAAGGCUUUGCUGCUUUGCUGCUUUAUGAGGGCUGGCAUCCUGGCAGCACCUGGGACUUUGGCUUCAUUUCUUAAGCAGACCCUUGGUCCCUUGGAGAAGGUCAGCAGCAAGGAGCCUUCUCUGGCUGGCUUUUCUGUGCAGACACAAGGCAAGUGGCCAGCUACUGGUGUGAUGCCUACGUAGCACCAGACCAUUGAGAUGUGGCACAGGAUUCCUGAGGUGAUGGGCUGAAUCGCGAGAGUGGAGUGGUGCUGGAUGGUGAGAGGCUUUCUCUGCUUAUACAGCUAAUAGACUAAUGAGCAAGGAGUUUGAAACUUGGCUGUGUUUGUUGUCAAAUGCAGGCCCCUUUCCAAGUGGUGUUAACAGCCUUCCCUUUUCACUCUGCG
rnacentral:lncRNA from 1 species